UACGGAGGGUGCAAGCGUUGUCCGGAUUUAUUGGGUUUAAAGGGUGCGUAGGCGGCCCGUUAAGUCAGUGGUGAAAGCCUCCAGCUCAACUGGAGAACUGCCAUUGAUACUGACGGGCUUGAGUACAGACGAGGUUGGCGGAAUUGAUUGUGUAGCGGUGAAAUGCGCAGAUAUCAGGAGGAACACCGAUGGCGAAGGCAGCUCGCUGGGACGGUACUGACGCUGAGGCGCGAAAGCGUGGGGAGCAAACAGG
rnacentral:rRNA from 1 species